rnacentral:rRNA from 1 species
GUGGGGAAUAUUGGACAAUGGGCGAAAGCCUGAUCCAGCCAUGCCGCGUGUGUGAAGAAGGUCUUCGGAUUGUAAAGCACUUUAAGUUGGGAGGAAGGGCAGUAAGUUAAUACCUUGCUGUUUUGACGUUACCGACAGAAUAAGCACCGGCUAACUUCGUGCCAGCAGCCACGGUAAUACGAAGGGUGCAAGCGUUAAUCGGAAUUACUGGGCGUAAAGCGCGCGUAGGUGGUUUUGUAAGUUGGAGGUGAAAUCCCCGGGCUCAACCUGGGAACUGCCUCCACAACUGCAUGACUAGAGUACGGUAGAGGGUAGUGGAAUUUCCUGUGUAGCGGUGAAAUGCGUAGAUAUAGGAAGGAACACCAGUGGCGAAGGCGACUACCUGGACUGAUACUGACACUGAGGUGCGAAAGCGUGGGGAGCAAACAGGAUUAGAUACCCCAGUAGUCC